AUGGUUUGGGAGUCUUUUUUUGCUUGGUUACUUGUUUCAUUUGUUACAAAUGACUAAAAAAAAAUGAUUCCUUGGUGACAUUCAUUGCUUUGUGGUUUGAUUCUGUGACGUUUUGUAUGAUAUAAUUGUCUUCUUGAAUUCCUGGGUGAACACGAGCCCGUAUGAAGAUGGAUAGAUCAUAAAGGUGGAGCUGAGUGAUGCAGGCGAGGUAGAGAAGCUGUGAUGGAUUCUAACAAGUACUCCAAGUUCUGCGAAGAAGAAGACACGGAGCACUGAGCUUUUCUUUCUUUUGGAAGUUUC